UACGGAAGGCAGCAGUGGGGAAUAUUGCACAAUGGGCGCAAGCCUGAUGCAGCCAUGCCGCGUGUAUGAAGAAGGCCUUCGGGUUGUAAAGUACUUUCAGUCGUGAGGAAGGUGUUAAGGUUAAUAACCUUAGCAAUUGACGUUAGCGACAGAAGAAGCACCGGCUAACUCCGUGCCAGCAGCCGCGGUAAUACGGAGGGUGCGAGCGUUAAUCGGAAUUACUGGGCGUAAAGGGCACGCAGGCGGUUAAUUAAGUUGGAUGUGAAAUCCCCGGGCUUAACCUGGGAAUGGCAUUCAAGACUGGUUAGCUAGAGUCUUGUAGAGGGGGUAGAAUUCCAUGUGUAGCGGUGAAAUGCGUAGAGAUGUGGAGGAAUACCGGUGGCGAAGGCGGCCCCCGGACAAAGACUGACGCUCAUGUGCGAAACGUGGGGAGCAAACAGGGAUUAGAUACC
rnacentral:rRNA from 1 species